rnacentral:rRNA from 1 species
CGCGUAGGUGGUAGUGCAAGCCUGGGGUGGAAUCCCAGGGCUUAACCCUGGAACUGCCUUGGAAACUGUAUUACUUGAGUCAGUGAGGGGAGGGUAGAAUUCCUGGUGUAGCGGUGAAAUGCGUAGAUAUCAGGAGGAAGGCCUGUGGCGAAGGCGGCCCUCUGGCGCUGAACUGACACUGAGGCGCGAAAGCGUGGGUAGCAAACAGGAUUAGAUACCCUGGUAGUCCACGCCCUAAACGGUGGGUACUAGGUGUGGGGCUCGUAAGGGUUCUGUGCCGAAGCGAAAGCAUUAAGUACCCCGCCUGGGGAGUACGGCCGCAAGGUUGAA